AAAGUUUUUUUUUUUUUGUUUUCCGAGAAUGGGAGACCAAGCAGAGACCACUUCAAGGUAAGAUCUGUUGACCAGUUUUUUAGCCAAAGGAAACGUCUGGCUGCAAUGGAUUAUGCCGAAGCCCUUGUGACGAGCUUAGCCGCGCCCAGGACUGCUAUGCAAAUUUAUAUAUAUUUGUGUCCGCUA